GCACAGCUGAGAGAAUCAGCUCAGUCGGUUGAGCAUGAGACUCUUAAUCCCAGGGUUCGAACCCCAUGUUGGGCA